CAAUCAAACCGGGAGAUAGCUGGUUCUCCCCGAAAGCUAUUUAGGUAGCGCCUCGUGAAUUCAUCUCCGGGGGUAGAGCACUGUUUCGGCUAGGGGGCCAUCCCGGCUUACCAACCCGAUGCAAACUGCGAAUACCGGAGAAUGUUAUCACGGGAGACACACGGCGGGUGCUAACGUCCGUCGUGAAGAGGGAAACAACCCAGACCGCCAGCUAAGGUCCCAAAGUCAUGGUUAAGUGGGAAACGAUGUGGGAAGGCCCAGACAGCCAGGAUGUUGGCUUAGAAGCAGCCAUCAUUUAAAGAAAGCGUAAUAGCUCACUGGUCGAGUCGGCCUGCGCGGAAGAUGUAACGGGGCUAAACCAUGCACCGAAGCUGCGGCAGCGAACGUAUCACCCAAGACAACUUUACGGAGUUGACGAUUGACGGAGCGAAGCGACGUCAAAGCGUUCAUUAAAGUCGAGUUGGCUUAGGGAUACGUUCGUUGGGUAGGGGAGCGUUCUGUAAGCCUGUGAAGGUGUGUCGUGAGGCAUGCUGGAGGUAUCAGAAGUGCGAAUGCUGACAUAAGUAACGAUAAAGCGGGUGAAAAGCCCGCUCGCCGGAAGACCAAGGGUUCCUGUCCAACGUUAAUCGGGGCAGGGUGAGUCGACCCCUAAGGCGAGGCCGAAAGGCGUAGUCGAUGGGAAACGGGUUAAUAUUCCCGUACUUGGUGUUACUGCGAAGGGGGGACGGAGAAGGCUAUGUUGGCCGGGCGACGGUUGUCCCGGUUUAAGCGUGUAGGUGUGUGUUCCAGGUAAAUCCGGUUCACUUUAACACUGAGGCGUGACGACGAGGCACUACGGUGCUGAAGCAACAAAUGCCCUGCUUCCAGGAAAAGCCUCUAAGCAU
rnacentral:rRNA from 2 species